UACGUAGGGACCAAGCGUUGUUCGGAUUUACUGGGCGUAAAGGGCGCGUAGGCGGCAUGACAAGUCACUUGUGAAAUCUCCGGGCUUAACUCGGAACGGUCAAGUGAUACUGUCGCGCUAGAGUGCGGAAGGGGCAAUCAGAAUUCUUGGUGUAGCGGUGAAAUGCGUAGAUAUCAAGAGGAAUACCUGAGGUGAAGACGGGUUGCUAGGCCGACACUGACGCUGAAGCGCGAAAGCCAGGGGAGCGAACGGG
rnacentral:rRNA from 1 species